GUCCGUCUGACGAGUCCCAAGCGGAACGAAACGCGCGUCCAAGAU
rnacentral:hammerhead_ribozyme from 1 species